GACGAACGCUGGCGGCGUGGAUUAGGCAUGCAAGUCGAACGGUAUCAUCCUUUCGGGGGUGAGAGAGUGGCGAACUGGUGAGUAACACGUAGGUUAUCUACCCUCAAGACGGGGACAACCCAGGGAAACUUGGGCUAAUACCGGAUGUGAGCAACUUUUAGUUGUUUGAAAGGUGGCGUAAGCUGUCGCUUGGGGAUGAGCCUGCGUCCUAUUAGUUAGUUGGUGAGGUAACGGCUCACCUAGGCAAUGAUAGGUAGGCGGCCUUAACGGGUGGUCGCCCACACUGGGAUUGAGAUACGGCCCAGACUCCUACGGGAGGCAGCAGUCGAGAAUAGUCUACAAUGGUCGGAAGACUGAUAGUGCGACGCCGCGUGAACGAUGAAUCCCGUUCGGGUGUAAAGUUCUUUUAUAUGUGAGCAGUGCUUCUUAUAUUAACAGUAGUGGGGAGAGAGAUAUUAGCAUAUGAAUAAGCAACGGCUAACUCCGUGCCAGCAGCCGACGGU
rnacentral:rRNA from 1 species